rnacentral:ribozyme from 1 species
UUUUUUUUUUUUUUUUUUUUUUUUUUUUUUUUUUUUUUUUUUUUUGACC